CUGCGGUGAGGUAGUAAGUUGUGUUGUUGUUGGGGACUGGGAUAUUGUGCCCCUCACUGGAGAUAACUAUACAACUUACUGCCUUCCGCAU
rnacentral:pre_miRNA from 1 species